UACAGAGGGGGCAAGCGUUGUUCGGAAUUACUGGGCGUAAAGGGCGCGUAGGCGGCCAAGUGUGUGAGGCGUGAAAGCCCGGGGCUUAACCCCGGAAUUGCACCUCAAACUACAUGGCUAGAGCAUUGGAGAGGGUAGCAGAAUUCAUGGUGUAGCAGUGAAAUGCGUUGAUAUUCACAGGAACUCCGGUGGCGAAGGCGGCUCGCUGGACCUCUUCUGACGCUGAGGCGCGAAAGCCAGGGGAGCAAACGGG
rnacentral:rRNA from 1 species